rnacentral:rRNA from 1 species
GAGACCCGCAUUCCCCGUUGCAACUAGCCUUGAGCUGGGCACACUGGGAAGACCGCCGUCGAUAAGACGGAGGAAGGAGCGGGCAACGGUAGGUCAGUAUGCCCCGAAUGUCCCGGGCUACACGCGAGCUACAAUGGAUGGUACAACGGGCAUCGACUCCGAAAGGGGAAGGAAAUCUCAUAAAGCCAUUCUUAGUUCGGAUUGAGGGCUGCAACUCGCCCUCAUGAAGCUGGAAUCCGUAGUAAUCGCGCUUCAACAGAGCGCGGUGAAUAC